AGAGUUUGAUCCUGGCUCAGAACGAACGCUGGCGGCGUGGAUAAGACAUGCAAGUCGGACGAGAUUUUUCGUUGUAGCAAUACGAUGGAAAGUCUAGUGGCGAACGGGUGCUUAACACGUGGGCAAUCUGUCUUAAAGUGGGGGAUAGCUCGGCGAAAGCCGAAUUAAUACCGCAUGUGAUCAGAGUGGACAUCCAUUCAAAAUCAAAGGUGGCGCAAGCUACCGCUUUUUGAGGAGCCCGCGGCCUAUCAGCUUGUUGGUGAGGUAACGGCUCACCAAGGCUUUGACGGGUAGCUGGUCUGAGAGGACGACCAGCCACACUGGGACUGAGACACGGCCCAGACACCUACGGGUGGCAGCAGUCGAGAAUUUUUCUCAAUGGGGGAAACCCUGAAGGAGCGACGCCGCGUGGAGGAUGAAGGUCUUCGGAUUGUAAACUCCUGUCAUUGGGGAACAAGUCGCUUACGUUAACUGCGUGAGCGUUGAUAGUACCCGAAGAGGAAGAGACGGCUAACUCUGUGCCAGCAGCCGCGGUAAUACAGAGGUCUCAAGCGUUGUUCGGAUUCAUUGGGCGUAAAGGGUGCGUAGGCGGCGCGGUAAGUCGGGUGUGAAAUCUUGGAGCUUAACUCCGAAACUGCAUUCGAUACUGCCGUGCUUGAGGACUGGAGAGGAGACUGGAAUUUACGGUGUAGCGGUGAAAUGCGUAGAUAUCGUAAGGAAGACCAGUGGCGAAGGCGGGUCUCUGGACAGUUCCUGACGCUGAGGCACGAAGGCCAGGGGAGCAAACGGGAUUAGAUACCCCAGUAGUCC
rnacentral:rRNA from 1 species